rnacentral:snRNA from 1 species
GUGUUGUAUGAAAGGAGAGAAGGUUAGCACUCCCCUUGACAAGGAUGGAAGAGGCCCUCGGGCCUGACAACACGCAUACGGUUAAGGCAUUGCCAC